GGCUUUAUAGUGUAGUGGUCAGCACGUCUGCUUUACAUGCAGAAGGUCCUGGGUUCGCGCCCCAGGUGGAGCCA
rnacentral:tRNA from 1 species